UACGGAGGGUGCGAGCGUUGUCCGGAUUUAUUGGGUUUAAAGGGUGCGUAGGUGGCUUUUUAAGUCAGUGGUGAAAUACAGCCGCUCAACGGUUGAGGUGCCAUUGAUACUGAAGAGCUUGAAACAAGUGGAGGCUGCCGGAAUGGAUGGUGUAGCGGUGAAAUGCAUAGAUAUCAUCCAGAACACCGAUUGCGAAGGCAGGUGGCUACGUUUGAUUUGACACUGAGGCACGAAAGCAUGGGGGAGCAAACAGG
rnacentral:rRNA from 1 species